rnacentral:lncRNA from 1 species
UUUCCUUUCAGUGACCUUCAAAAUUGUAUCUGCUCCACUCACAAGUUCAGGCAGGUGUUUAAUUUUCGUCACAAAUAACAGUUCACCGGUUUGAAAGCCAGUUAAAUUUAUGAGACAUUAUCCUUGUAUGGAGCCUACAAGCAAGAACCUUUAUAAAUAUGACUGGCAGGAUUAAAGCUAAAGGUGUACAGACACCCCCUGAUUACCCCUGUGAGGUAUGUACAUUUGAGAGGGGAGGAAUAGUUUGGUAUAGGAGGAAGGAUUGUCCUGACAUUGAGAGUCAAUAUAUUUUUAUUAUUUUUAUUGUGGACUUAGGGGAUAAGAACCACUCCAUACACAAUCAGCAGGCUAUUAUGGUGCUUCACUAAUGCUGUAUCAAACGAGCAGGAAUAUGAGUGGGUUUUUAUUGUACCAAGGAAUUCUAGACAUGCAUUGACAGAGGAAAAUGUAGCUGUUGUGUAAAUUCAGCAAUGCUAGAAAGUACACUAUUGAUAACACUUAAAAAAGGUGAAUAUAUAUAUUAUAGAUUCAAGUUUUCAUCUCUGAGUGUUUUGGAACUUUCUGUUUCUACAACAAUGAUGUAUUUUAAGGACUGAUAGUCAGGCAGCAGCACUUGUAGGCAGCAGAGACAACAGCUGAGAGGCAUUUAACAAUUAUCUUGUAAUGUUCAGAGAAGUACACCUGUGUACUGUUAAGUUCCUCUAUAUGGUUUCUGGCAGGUAAAUACGUGCAAUAUAGUAAUUCUAUAUGAAAUGCCAUCCUUGAAAUGUAGUUUACUUUCAUCCAAAUAAACAGAAAUAGUCUUGGCA